UUUACGAAAAGCUUGUACAACAUAUUCCAGCGCGAGCUCUCUAGCCUACAGCGUCUACGCGUCCAAUUAUUCACUUUUUUGGUGUAUAAUAAAUAAAGCAACUAUUGCUAAAAUCGAAAUAUUUUACUUGUGUUAAUGGAUGUAGAAUUUUGACUAUUUAACUUAAAGCAGGAUACGAGUUCCGGCUGUGACGUCAACUAAUUGCCAUUAGCAUUUGCAUAGAAAUUCCAAUAAUCACGCAAACUGAGCAGAAGGCAAAAACGGAGCAAGACAGAGAACUGACUCCUAAGCUUGAGUUGUCAUUAGUCAGCAGCCUUAAUGGAUGUGUUAAGGGAUGAACAGACAUGCCGUUAUUUAUAUUUAUUUGAUAUCCUAAUAAAAUGACAACUACGUAAAUAGUUUUUCCACAAAUAGACACGUCUUUGAUAAAUUGUUAUAACUUGAUCAACUGUGAAGGUUGCCUAACAUUUGAAGACUUAAGAAAAUAUCCAAAUGAGAGAGAAAAAGUCUAUAUACUCAAUCUUCAUGUGACGUUUCUUUGGUGAAAGUUUUACGAGUUCAGUCCCAUUAAUAUACCAGGAAGUAAUUCAAAGACGUUUGCAAAAUAAAAUGAUAUAUUACAAAAAUUAUAAUAAAAAUAUACUUGUGUGAGCUUGUGAACAAAGAAAACACCCCAUUGUCACAAUAGACGAGCGAAUUUGUAACGAUUUACUUAACAAAGAAACGUUUCAAAAACAAAACAAGUAAUCAAUUGUAGGCAAAAGGCAAUGUCAACAAAUGCGCUAGACGAGCCCAAGACUCAAGUGGUUAUCAUUGGCUGGAUCGAGGCCUCGCUGAUUCUUACAUACUAACGAUUGGCAAGGGUGGCACAUUAAAACGUGUAAGCUCUCAAUGGAAAAUGCCAAGUCACGUUAAGCUAGAAAAGCAUUUUAACAAAAAAGUCAUCUAAUUACAUGUUAUAUAAGAUGGCGUAUUAAGCACACGAAACUUUAAGCCCGAGCUUCAAAGCAAAGCCAACGACCGACAGAGAGCAAGAGAGAGUGAAUACGCGGCACAGAAAUACAACAACAUAGGUAAAGGUUCAGAGAGAGGCAAAGAGAGAGAGAAAGAGAGCGCGCCGCGCACCGACCUCACCAAACACGACCGAGCUGUCCAGUGAACGAGCGAUAACUGAACUGAAACACCAAAAAGGUGAUUAAAUUGUAAAUCUGUGUGCGAUUUAAAUAUAAAAGUUUACGGCCGUUUCCAAACGUCGCACAGCGCUGCCCAGCGAUCAGGUUGUAAACAACAGCUGAGCACACUGUGAGCACGCAUCGUAUAAUCAACGGAGACCGAGAGAGACCAAGCAAGCGAACAGGUGUUGGAAUCUGGUGGCAUGUAAAAAAUACGUCAAGCUUAUAUGAUUGGCUACUUCUUGAAUGGUGCUUUUCCAAAAUGUGUGCUUACCAAGAAGUGCUUGUACUAAUUAACUGGCUCCAUUAGCAGUGUCUUUGCACAUAUUGCCAUUGGUCAUCAGGCCAGGCCCAGGAGCAGAUGAUGCGGAUCCAUUGUUGACAUGGCCUUGGCGUGUGGUGUUUACAUUCAGCAGCUGAUUUUCAUGCUCAUCAUAGUUGCUGCAAUGGGAGACCCUUGCCUUUGCUCCUUCAUUCGCACCUGGCACAGACUGCGCAGGUGUCGCCUUAGACGUUGGACUUGGGCAUUGGAUGUUAGAGGACGACAUGGUUAACAAUCACAAAUGGUUGCGGGCCAAACUUUCAUUGGGCGAUCAAGCGCGCAAACGAAAUAUUAUUUUUUUAAUGGGGUUUUUAGCACGGCACUAUAUUUUCUGCAACUUUAAUGUAUUUGCGAACGUUCAAUUUAUCCAACAUGCUUUUGAAGCUUUUUUGCUGCUGCAGUCGUACUACAAACGUUUGCACCUGUCCGCGUAGAUGUAUGAAGCUUAUGGCCGAAUCUUAUUUGCGAAUAUUCGUAUAAAUGCCGCAGUAGUAAUUAGCAAAGUUUCAUUGGUACAAUUUCAGUUAUUUAUUUAUAAACUGAAGUCCAUUGUAUAUGCUAGAGUUAAUCGAAUCGUUUGGAAUUAGUUCGAUUAACUGGCUCACUGAAUGAACAAAUUAAAUCCGAUUUCAGCAUAA